UGUUGUUUCUGCUGUGGAGCCCCUCACAUUGUUCCCACACUCUAUAAUAGACCUGCUGGGCUUUUCUGUCUCCAUUCAUUCCUCCGGGCCUCCACCAGCGCGCAGCAGGAGGAGGAGCGUUAACGGCGCCGGUCAGCAGGGCGGACAUGGCGGCGCAAAGCCCAGCAUUUAGUGCUGGACGGGAGCCGUUUCUCAGCAUUUAUACUAUAUAUUGUUUUGAUAAUUAUAUUUGAAGCCGUAAUCACGGAGGAGUCACGUUUGUUUGUGUUUGUCUGUGCGCGGAGAUGCUGCCGGUGUUCGGUGCGCAAAGAUGUGACUUUCUGUGGGUGAGGCUGCAAAGUUUCCAGGCAGAACUCCAAAACCAGGGCGGCUGUUUCAGAAGAAUGAAGUUUCAGCGCCUCCGCCCAGAUGAAAGCCUCCAUUAAUGUCAUUCUAGUGUCCCGCUGCUCUGCUCUGCUCUCCGGGCUGUUUGAGAUGUUUCUGCUGCAGGAUGGACCAAAUUACCAACACUGAAGCAGGAAUGAUCAAGCAGCCGUGUUUCAGGCAAGAGAAGAACUGCAAAAUCACAACCCUGCACCAAACUGGACUGACUGUAUGCUACAGUGUUUAGCAGAAGUUUUGUUCAUUCAUCAAAGACACAGCUUUUUAAAUCAUAAACUGGAUAAUACCUAAGUACUUACAUAAAUGUAUUAUGAAAAAUCCAAG